rnacentral:misc_RNA from 1 species
GUGAAUCAUCAAAUUUUUGAACGCAAAUUGCACUCUCCUCGGAGAGUAUGCCUGUUUGAGGGUCAGCCUAUAAAAAAUCGACAUCGUUGCUGUUUCGCGGUGACGUUCGUCGGAAAUUGGGUCAUCUUAAAUCUUUUUGGUUUUAAGCGAUUAAAAAUUUUCUUUUUGUUUCAUUGAAGGUUCUUAAGUUUAUUUUUUUUCAACGUUUAAGGGUAUCGAUUUUUAUUAGAUGAGACUC